UUUAAAAUGAGAGUUUGAUCCUGGCUCAGGACGAACGCUGGCGGCGUGCCUAAUACAUGCAAGUCGAGCGAGCGGAACUAACAGAUUUACUUCGGUAAUGACGUUAGGAAAGCGAGCGGCGGAUGGGUGAGUAACACGUGGGGAACCUGCCCCAUAGUCUGGGAUACCACUUGGAAACAGGUGCUAAUACCGGAUAAGAAAGCAGAUCGCAUGAUCAGCUUUUAAAAGGCGGCGUAAGCUGUCGCUAUGGGAUGGCCCCGCGGUGCAUUAGCUAGUUGGUAAGGUAAAGGCUUACCAAGGCGAUGAUGCAUAGCCGAGUUGAGAGACUGAUCGGCCACAUUGGGACUGAGACACGGCCCAAACUCCUACGGGAGGCAGCAGUAGGGAAUCUUCCACAAUGGACGCAAGUCUGAUGGAGCAACGCCGCGUGAGUGAAGAAGGUUUUCGGAUCGUAAAGCUCUGUUGUUGGUGAAGAAGGAUAGAGGUAGUAACUGGCCUUUAUUUGACGGUAAUCAACCAGAAAGUCACGGCUAACUACGUGCCAGCAGCCGCGGUAAUACGUAGGUGGCAAGCGUUGUCCGGAUUUAUUGGGCGUAAAGCGAGCGCAGGCGGAAGAAUAAGUCUGAUGUGAAAGCCCUCGGCUUAACCGAGGAACUGCAUCGGAAACUGUUUUUCUUGAGUGCAGAAGAGGAGAGUGGAACUCCAUGUGUAGCGGUGGAAUGCGUAGAUAUAUGGAAGAACACCAGUGGCGAAGGCGGCUCUCUGGUCUGCAACUGACGCUGAGGCUCGAAAGCAUGGGUAGCGAACAGGAUUAGAUACCCUGGUAGUCCAUGCCGUAAACGAUGAGUGCUAAGUGUUGGGAGGUUUCCGCCUCUCAGUGCUGCAGCUAACGCAUUAAGCACUCCGCCUGGGGAGUACGACCGCAAGGUUGAAACUCAAAGGAAUUGACGGGGGCCCGCACAAGCGGUGGAGCAUGUGGUUUAAUUCGAAGCAACGCGAAGAACCUUACCAGGUCUUGACAUCUAGUGCCAUUUGUAGAGAUACAAAGUUCCCUUCGGGGACGCUAAGACAGGUGGUGCAUGGCUGUCGUCAGCUCGUGUCGUGAGAUGUUGGGUUAAGUCCCGCAACGAGCGCAACCCUUGUUAUUAGUUGCCAGCAUUAAGUUGGGCACUCUAAUGAGACUGCCGGUGACGAACCGGAGGAAGGUGGGGAUGACGUCAAGUCAUCAUGCCCCUUAUGACCUGGGCUACACACGUGCUACAAUGGGCAGUACAACGAGAAGCGAGCCUGCGAAGGCAAGCGAAUCUCUGAAAGCUGUUCUCAGUUCGGACUGCAGUCUGCAACUCGACUGCACGAAGCUGGAAUCGCUAGUAAUCGCGGAUCAGCACGCCGCGGUGAAUACGUUCCCGGGCCUUGUACACACCGCCCGUCACACCAUGGGAGUCUGCAAUGCCCAAAGCCGGUGGCCUAACCUUCGGGAAGGAGCCGUCUAAGGCAGGGCAGAUGACUGGGGUGAAGUCGUAACAAGGUAGCCGUAGGAGAACCUGCGGCUGGAUCACCUCCUUUCUAAGGAA
rnacentral:rRNA from 1 species